GGGGAAUAUUGCGCAAUGGGCGAAAGCCUGACGCAGCAACGCCGCGUGCGGGAUGAAGGCCUUCGGGUUGUAAACCGCUUUCAGCAGGGACGAAGGUUUUCUGACGGUACCUGCAGAAGAAGCACCGGCUAACUACGUGCCAGCAGCCGCGGUGAUACGUAGGGUGCGAGCGUUGUCCGGAAUUAUUGGGCGUAAAGAGCUUGUAGGCGGUCUGUUGCGUCGGAAGUGAAAACUCAGGGCUUAACCCUGAGCCUGCUUUCGAUACGGGCAGACUUGAGGGAUGUAGGGGAGAACGGAAUUCCUGGUGGAGCGGUGGAAUGCGCAGAUAUCAGGAGGAACACCAGUGGCGAAGGCGACCUGCUGGAACAUUACUGACGCUGAGGUGCGAAAGCGUGGGGAGCAAACA
rnacentral:rRNA from 1 species